rnacentral:sRNA from 1 species
UUCAGAUUGAAGAACCCUAAACUUCAUAUUUGGUAAUUCUCUCUCAAAGCCCACUCCUCUUUCCUAAUUUUUGGUCUUUCUCUUUCGCAGGCAUACCAACUUUGGGCUGCCUUUGUGGAGCUCACGCAACAGGGAAGCUUCCUUCCCUUUCUCUUUUCUCGUUUUACCGCGUCGCAAGGACUUCUUUCCUCUUCUCCUUCGCGGUUCUGGUUCUGGGUUUUGCAGGUAAGGCGCGAACACCUUUCUCGCGGUGUGGUGAUUGUUGCAGCGGCGACGCCUCCGCGAGGUUUCGACAUUAGAAAUCUCCGUCGUGCCAGAAACCCUAUUGAUGGCGUCGUCAUGGAGAGAAAUAGUGAACCUGGUGUUUUGCGGUCUGGCGGUCUUCAUUCAUUAGCGCCCCCGCGGCCACUGGUGGUGGAUCGCGUUGGGUUCUCUACCACGUCAUCUUGUGAACGUCCUCGAUGUUGAGCUUCUGUAACCAUAACCUCGACGUGCUCUCCUCCAGGAACUCCCUCGUGCAACUAUUGUACAUGUAGGAGCACUCCUUACCGAACCCGCCGACCACCAUUCGCUUCGUGAUAUCGUGGAGGUUGUUUAUCAUCCCAUCUAUGAGCGCGUCCAUGACGAUGUCGAAGUUUGUGACCGGCAACGCCAUCGAAAUCUGCUCCUCUAUUUUGUCUAUAUUAUCUUUUUAUUGGGGAUAUUGAUCAGGAUUUAAGAAAAUAUUAUCAUGAAAUUUUGUAGACUUGAAAUUUUAUAUAUUAGUGUUAAUAAAAAUUAUAUUUUUUUUAACGACAAAAGGAAGGUUAUGUGAU